UUUUCAGAUAUAUUAGGGCAGUAAUUCUCCAGUCGGUAUGUAGGUGCUGGUUGAGUGCCUGCAGGCUAUAUGGGUCUGGAUGGGUAGGAGCUAGCCUUAGCUCAACCCCAUCAAGACAGAAUGGCCCUGGAUUUUUGACCCCCAGGCCCAGAUGAUAUUUCAUCUCUGACUCUGAAUGAAGUGGCAUUGACUUGGGCACACAAUUUGGAGGACCAUCUAAAACCACCACUUCUGCUCAAGAAGCAGGUGGCAACCAUGUUGGUGGGGGGAGGUUGUCUUUAUACAGAUUCAUCUGGUGUUCCAACUGCAUCUUUUCCUGGACUGUGCGGCCUUGGCUAUUUCUCAUAUGGAUUGCUACAACAUGCUGUACAUGUGGCUACCCAGAAGCUACACCUGGUCUAGAAAAUGAUGGUUCAUGCAGUGAUCGGUGUCCCUAGGUGUACCCAUAUGAGUCCUCUGUUGUUUGAGCUGCAAUGACUCCCAGUUUCCUUCCAGAUGCAAGUCAAGAUGCUGCUUGUUACCUUUAAAAGCGUAUAUAGCACAAGGUCAGGUUAUCUGCAGGACUGCCACUUCCUACCAGAGUAGAUAGGGUGGGCAUGUUCCCAGUCCCUUCCCUUGAAUAUUGCUAUCUUAUGGGUUUAGGAAGUAUGCCUUUUCCGUGGCAGUCUCUACUCUCCUAGCCUUCCCUAAAGUACCUACGACCAACUGCUGGGAUAUGAUGAGAAGUACCUGGUCCAAGAUCUCUUCCUUUUUUUUCCCACAUGAGGGAAACAUAUGCCGCCAUUCUCCACCUGCAGGACACAGCAUAUCCUUGGUGAAGCUGGAGAUCUGUCCGGUCAGUGUCGACAAGCUGCCUCCGACCUGCCCCACCAGGGACUGGCCGAAACCCGC